AUGAAAACCCCUGCAGCUCCGACGCAGAUGCCCACGUUGCCCAGGCCUUCACAGACCCCCAAGCCGGAACCGCCGGGAAAACGAUUGCCAACCGGCCACAACACCCAGGCAGAGACGCGGGGAGAGGCUGACCAGAAGAAAGGCCGACGUGCAAGAAACCCAGCCUCCGGCGCACAGGGAACAUGUGUCCCAAGGCGCACGCACACACAGACGGACAGAGACAGAAAGAGAGGGCGACGGAAAGAGCGAGAAGGGAGAGAGGGAGAGAGAGAGAGAGAGACUUAAGAGAGAGACGGUAGUGGGCACACAGACACGCACGCGCGCGCGCGCGCGCACACACACGCAGACACACACACACACACACACACCCAUAACGGACACAGACAUACAGCAGGUAACACCCACCCCCAGGCAGCCCCUGAAGCUGCCGGGUUCUGGUCUCCGCGACUACGAGCCACCGGUGAGACAGCAGCCCACGCGCACACAGGGAGACCUGUCCUCGACAUCACAAGGGCGCCACUUUUGGGGAGACUCACCCGCACACCGUCCGCGCACGCCUGAGGCUGGGAUCCCGCGCUGCCUCCCCGGCGAUCUGUCUGAGUUUUCUUCCUCCUGGGGUUUCUUCCUGCUGGUGGACCCUCCGCGAAUCCCGGCCUCCGGAGACCGUCCUGGUAACUGCCCUGGCCAGGGCUGGUCUCAGCCCCGA
rnacentral:lncRNA from 10 species